GGUUGUUGUCUCUGCUUUCGUUUACCAGAAGUUAUGGCAGAUGAACACAAAGUUGAUCGAGAACUCCUAAAGAUCAACAAGCAGAGUAGCAGACCAUUGUUUCCAAGAUGGCCGAAUUUGAUUAUUGGAAUUGUGCCGACACUAUCACAUAAAAGAAUUAAGGAUGGUAAGAACUAAGAACCAUUUUUGGCCUUUCUUUUAAUUCUGUUUUUUUUUUUAAAUAUUUUAUUAAUAACUCACACACCCUACAUAUGUCAGUGAAGUUUGAACUCGUGACCUCAAAAUUAUCAGUUAAACACCUUAACUAACCAAGUCACAGCUCACCGACAACCUGUCUUUUAUAAUUACAGAUAAGGAGAUUUUUAUUUAUUUUUUCCGAUGAAAAUGAAGAUAGAAGAGCACAACUGCUCUCUAGCUACCCCCCCCCCCUUUAUUUCAAAAGAAAUGAAAAAAGAACACACAUUGCAAAGGAAUAUCACUCUAAUACAUGAUGGUAGAUGAAAUUCCAAGAAAUGAAGUUUACGAUAAACACACAUGUUUAAUGGAAAAAUUGAUCGACAUGAUUAUGUCCAAACUCAUGAUCGGAAAAGUAAAACACAUUGCAGGUCACAUGAUAUGAUAUGAUGAUCGUGCAUGCCAUACUUCUCCAGAAAAAGUAUAAUUCAGUGCAAGUUUCAGGGAUCAUACCAAGGGAAUUCAUGCCUAUCAAUCAAGCCAAUCCACCAAACUGGUGUUCUAGUACUGGAAAUCCUGAUUAUAUAGCUCCAAACUAACUACUAGUAAAAACAAAAACAAAAGACAAACAAACAUUCCCAACUGUAUAUACAGAGAAAAGCACCGCUAGAACUUUCCUAGAAGAUGAAAGAGAAAGAGAAAAAAGAAGCAAAAUUCACUUCCAUGUCGACCACAUCCAUGCAUGCAUCUAACAUAAAUUUAUAUGAUCAUCUCCCAUAAAAAUGAAAUAAUACACAGUACUAAAAAUAUAUGUUACUAUGAGGCAUUUGCAAUCGGGGUUCCUCUGAUAUUCUUGAUGCUAUCCACGUUGGUAGUUUCAUACACAGGCA